GGGAUUUGGGCCUGGUCUCUGGGAAGAAGUAUACGCUUCCCGUCGGACUCAUUAAAGAAGAAAUCUUCAUCCAGUUCGAGACAAAUAAAGCCGUGCACUGGAUUUAGGGCAAGCGUUAUGGAAAGAAAUGCGAGUCAAGGUCUUUUCCACUAUGCGCCGGCCAACCCACGUCAUACCAGGGAUGUUAACCCACCAAACGGUUGAGGCCAGAUAUGGAACAGCAGGUUGGAACCAAUAUGGCUGAAUAUCUCUGCCAGGCGACCAAAAGAACAAGAGACCCAAACCCUUCGUUCUGACUCUCGGGGACAAUCGCCUCUAAUCCCUGGCAUUCACCGUCAGGCUCUGGAGCAGACGACAUUGUUUCAGCAUUUAUUUAUUUUUUAAACAUAAUUUCCUAUUGACAAUGUAUACCUGGUAGGGGUUGGAGGAGUAGAGGGUAAAGGGUUUACUUGUCUUCAGCCCCGUUCCCCAGUAGGGCUGCUGGGAUUUUCA